AGUUUGCUCUUAAGGGAGUAGCCAUCCGCAUAUUUCAGAUGUGCGGAGCCGUUAUCAACAUAAUUGCCAUAGGGCAUGGUAACGGCAUCUUGAUACCGAGACAGGCAAGACUUAAGACACGCAGAGCCGCCGGUGGGCAGCGCCUGUUGUGUCUUUUUUGUUUGCCCACAGUUUUGAG
rnacentral:sRNA from 2 species